rnacentral:ncRNA from 16 species
GAUUAAACAAUCGAUUUUGGUGUCACCUUUCGUUUUACGGAAGGUGGUGAAAAGGGAAUCAGGUGAGAAUCCUGAACAGACCCGCUGCUGUAAGCUCCACCGAAAUUUUCGAACAAUACUCACAUCCACUGUUUCGACACGAAAUGGGAAGGGCGUUUGAAAACGGAGUAAGUCAGAAGACCUGCCAAUAUCGUUAUAAUCUGA